GUCCGAAUGACGCGUAUUAGCAGCGAUGAUAUUACAUGUCAAUAUUACGUUGCCAGUCAGAACCGCGAAAUUACUACCGGUGAGAUUUGGUUGCCGAUAAAAGCAACUAUUCGUUCUCAUAUCAGGACAAGCUAGACAAACAAGUAGAAAAAAAAGACAAAACACAGUUUGUACUAGCGACGAUCGAUGAGUCUAAUAGAUGAGAUAGCUACGAUUGAGAACGUCCAUUGUGCGUCAUUGUACUCUACUGUCCUCUAAAAUAGGAAAAAAGAUAGAAAAGCUAGACGUUAAGCGAACAUAGGAUUAACGAUCCAUCGAGACAGGAAGCUAAAUUUUUGAUAAUGUCCUCCUAAGCGACGAACGAUAAUAGUCGACGGGAAAAUGUCGAUGGGCAACGUACGAUGAUUCUGGGAGUUAUUCGUUGAUUCAGUAACCGGCGAGGAAUGCAAGGAACAUUUGGACCCUCGUCAUGCAGAUUCUUUCCUCUAAUGAAAAAGUUAGAAGAUGGUGGCAAACGCGACGACAGAAGGUAACGUAAGAGAGAAGUUUACGAGAAACGCGUAGUUGCUUUACGAACGAAAGUCACAUUUCGUUUUUCUCGCGUUAACUUUCGCGCCUCAUGGGAAUACAUUAACCUGUAUGACUUGCGCUACUUCCUCGAAGAAAAAGGGAAGAGGGUCAUUUUUAAUAGACUCGUAUCGACGUGCCAUCCUGACAAAGUUAUUAAUGACAUCGAAAUAGUCCAAUGAGGAAAUUUUAAAUGUAUCCCUUGACGUCUUUUUUUAAUAAAGUUAUCUCGUAUAUAUUUGCAUAUAUAUUUCGAUUUAAUAGUUACAUCAAAAAUUACGAAUUCUUUUGAGAACAAAAAUUCCAGAUAA